rnacentral:rRNA from 1 species
UGGGGAAUUUUGGACAAUGGACGCAAGUCUGAUCCAGCAAUGCCGCGUGCGGGAAGAAGGCCUUCGGGUUGUAAACCGCUUUUGUCAGGGAAGAAAUCUUCUGGGUUAAUACCUCGGGAGGAUGACGGUACCUGAAGAAUAAGCACCGGCUAACUACGUGCCAGCAGCCGCGGUAAUACGUAGGGUGCGAGCGUUAAUCGGAAUUACUGGGCGUAAAGCGUGCGCAGGCGGUUAUGCAAGACAGAUGUGA